rnacentral:misc_RNA from 1 species
CGUGCUUGCGGAUACACAGAAACAUGCAGAUAUAGCAGCAAAGCUUGCAGUGGUAGAUUAUGACCUGGAAAAUCUAGAACCUCCCAUUUUAACUGUAGAAGAGGCUAUCGAGAGGUCUAGCCUUUUCAAGAUACCCCCUAUGAUCUAUCCCAAACAAGUUGGUGAUUUCUCUAAGGGAAUGGCUGAUGCUGAUCACAAGAUUCUCUCUACUGAGAUAAAACUUGGGUCACAAUAUUUUUUCUAUAUGGAGAAUCAGACUGCUCUUGCUGUUCCUGAUGAGGACAACUGCAUGGUGGUUCACAGUUCAAUUCAAUGUCCUGAGUAUGCACAGGUUGUGAUUGCAAAAUGUCUUGGUGUUCCUGAACACAAUGUGCGUGUGCUUACAAGAAGGGUUGGAGGAGGUUUUGGUGGAAAGGCCAUGAAAUCCAUGCCGGUUGCUACGGCAUGUGCACUUGCAGCACACAAGUAUCAGCGCCCUGUUAGGAUAUACAUGGACCGUAAGACUGAUAUGAUAAUGGCAGGUGGAAGGCAUCCUAUGAAGAUAACUUACAGCGUAGGAUUCAAAUCUGAUGGGAAAAUUACUGCCUUGCAUCUUGAUAUAUUAAUUAAUGCUGGCAUAUCUCCUGACAUGAGUCCAUUGAUGCCAGAAGCCAUUGUGGGUGCACUUAAAA